rnacentral:rRNA from 1 species
CUUUUACAAUGAAGAGUUUGAUCCUGGCUCAGGAUGAACGCUAGCUACAGGCUUAACACAUGCAAGUCGAGGGGCAGCAUGAACUUAGCUUGCUAAGUUUGAUGGCGACCGGCGCACGGGUGAGUAACACGUAUCCAACCUGCCGAUGACUCGGGGAUAGCCUUUCGAAAGAAAGAUUAAUACCCGAUGGCAUAGUUCUUCCGCAUGGUAGAACUAUUAAAGGAUUUCGGUCAUCGAUGGGGAUGCGUUCCAUUAGGUUGUUGGCGGGGUAACGGCCCACCAAGCCUUCGAUGGAUAGGGGUUCUGAGAGGAAGGUCCCCCACAUUGGAACUGAGACACGGUCCAAACUCCUACGGGAGGCAGCAGUGAGGAAUAUUGGUCAAUGGACGAGAGUCUGAACCAGCCAAGUAGCGUGAAGGAUGACUGCCCUAUGGGUUGUAAACUUCUUUUAUACGGGAAUAAAGUGAGGCACGUGUGCCUUUUUGUAUGUACCGUAUGAAUAAGGAUCGGCUAACUCCGUGCCAGCAGCCGCGGUAAUACGGAGGAUCCGAGCGUUAUCCGGAUUUAUUGGGUUUAAAGGGAGCGUAGGCGGACGCUUAAGUCAGUUGUGAAAGUUUGCGGCUCAACCGUAAAAUUGCAGUUGAUACUGGGUGUCUUGAGUACAGUAGAGGCAGGCGGAAUUCGUGGUGUAGCGGUGAAAUGCUUAGAUAUCACGAAGAACUCCGAUUGCGAAGGCAGCUUGCUGGACUGUAACUGACGCUGAUGCUCGAAAGUGUGGGUAUCAAACAGGAUUAGAUACCCUGGUAGUCCACACAGUAAACGAUGAAUACUCGCUGUUUGCGAUAUACAGUAAGCGGCCAAGCGAAAGCGUUAAGUAUUCCACCUGGGGAGUACGCCGGCAACGGUGAAACUCAAAGGAAUUGACGGGGGCCCGCACAAGCGGAGGAACAUGUGGUUUAAUUCGAUGAUACGCGAGGAACCUUACCCGGGCUUGAAUUGCAACUGAAUGAUGUGGAGACAUGUCAGCCGCAAGGCAGUUGUGAAGGUGCUGCAUGGUUGUCGUCAGCUCGUGCCGUGAGGUGUCGGCUUAAGUGCCAUAACGAGCGCAACCCUUAUCGAUAGUUACCAUCAGGUUAUGCUGGGGACUCUGUCGAGACUGCCGUCGUAAGAUGUGAGGAAGGUGGGGAUGACGUCAAAUCAGCACGGCCCUUACGUCCGGGGCUACACACGUGUUACAAUGGGGGGUACAGAAGGCAGCUACACGGCGACGUGAUGCUAAUCCCUAAAGCCUCUCUCAGUUCGGAUUGGAGUCUGCAACCCGACUCCAUGAAGCUGGAUUCGCUAGUAAUCGCGCAUCAGCCACGGCGCGGUGAAUACGUUCCCGGGCCUUGUACACACCGCCCGUCAAGCCAUGAAAGCCGGGGGUACCUGAAGUGCGUAACCGCAAGGAGCGCCCUAGGGUAAAACUGGUGAUUGGGGCUAAGUCGUAACAAGGUAGCCGUACCGGAAGGUGCGGCUGGAACACCUCCUUUCU